AUUGAACGCUGGCGGCAGGCCUACCACAUGCAAGUCGAGCGAGAGGCGGACGGGUGAGUAAUGUCAGGGAAACUGCCUGAUGGAGGGGGAUAACUACUGGAAACGCUAGUACAUACCGCAUCCCACCCACUGUGCCCCGAGGGGAUUAGCUAGUAGGUGGGGUACAGGCCAACCUAGGCGACGAUACCUAGCUGGUCUGAGAGGAUGACCAGCCACACUGGAACGGGGACACGGUCCAGACUCCUACGGGAGGCAGCAGUGGGGAAUAUUGCACAAUGGGCGCAAGCCUGAGGCAGCCAUGCCGCGUGUGUGAAGAAGGCCUUCGGGUUGUAAAGCACUUUCAGCGGGGAGGCGUUACCCGCAGAAGAAGCACCGGCUAACUCCGUGCCAGCAGCCGCGGUAAUAC
rnacentral:rRNA from 1 species